GUAUAAAAAAUAUUUCACUGGUCUUUAUUUACAGGGUCACACAUUAUUGAGAAACCUAAAUCCCCAAAUUCGUUCUAUUGCUUUCAAAGCAUUAAGAGUGGAGUUUCCUCGUCGAUCUUCUUCUUCUCCUUUAUCAGACACCAUGCCUCAACAAGAUUUCCAAAGUAGAUCUUCAACUCUGUAGUGGCAGCAAUUGAUUAUCUUUCUUUGGCUUCUUCGAUUUCUCUAUUCGAAACCUCAAUCGUGGUCUAUCUUUGAUUUUAGGUUGAGAAUUCUCACUUCAAAAGAUAUUGAGUUUGCAUUUUGUAUAAAAGAUAGAAGAAGGAAGAAAGUAUUGGCUUCGAUAUGAUCAGGAAGGAAGGAGGUAGCUUCCAUGGCAUGAAACAAGCAGUGUUGGUGGUGUUAGAUUGUAAUUUCGUUCGUUAUAAUAGUAUUCGCGGUUGGUUUACACUUUUGUUUUGUUUAUUUAGUUUACAAGCAAUGUUUGAGUGUUCUUCUUCUUUAAAUGCUAGAUUUCUUUACUCUGAAAUACAUUCUCUAUGUCCAUGUGCAGGAGGUACUUGUUGUAAUUUUAUGUCUUAAUUUCAGUUGCUGAUUACUUUCAACAGAAGUAUAGAAUCAGAUUGAGAUAUGUGACAUGGCCUGCUCUACAAGCAGGAAGUGCAAACAAGCUUAUUUACUGAUUACGUGUUGGUUGCUCAACUUUUUAUAAUUAUUUAGGUGAUUUUGUCCUAGAAAUUAAUAAAUAUCAGUUAGCCUUAUUUCUGUACCAUUCUAUCUUUACAAAAGCAUAAGAUCAAGCAUUAUUUUGGGAUCGAUAAUGCCUGACUCUUUUUCUGAUGCGUUGGAUCCAGCUCAUCAUGGUGUACUUCAUAGUGCUGCACCAGCAGAGUUAAAAGGACCUGGAAAAGUUGAAGCCUGUAAUUUGAAUUGGUGAUCUAAACUGCGCUCAUCAAGAAAUAGACAUAUUUAACCUUGCAAGCAGAUAAUGUGAAAAAUGAUGUGAUAUCCAUUUCUUUGCAUGGACUAAUAUCAGUGGUGUGAAAGUUAUAUAAAGAACAAGGGAAUUAGAGGAACAACAAGCCAAAAGGUGAGGCCAGGGCAAUAGAGUUUUUGGGCAGAAAGUUAGAAGGAAAAUUCGAGGGGAAGCUCUUGAAUCAACUACCCAUUGUACUGUGUCGUUCUCAAGAUUGACAUUUCCUACUACUUUAUAGAGGAAUUUCAAAUCUGUUUGUAGUUUUCCUGCUCAGUUCUUAUUGGAAUAUAUUCUCAAUAAACGAAGGCAAACAAUCUAGCAAUAUUAAAAUCAUAUAUUGUUAGCUACUUUAUCGGUUGUUAUUGGAAUUUCAAAUCGGUUUGUAGUUUUCUUGCUCGGUUCUUAUUGGAAUAUAUUCUCAAUAAAUAAAGGCAAACAAUGUAUAAAUGUUAAAAUCAUAUAUUGUUAUGAUUUAUUAUAAAUUAUUUCUUUACA